rnacentral:misc_RNA from 1 species
AAUUGUUUUCGAAUGGAUACAUUCAACGAUGCAUAAGAGUAUAAGAAUGUAAAUUUACACAGUUUUCCUAUAAUCAUUUUUCACAUGCAUUGUGUGUGAUACUUGGUGCUUCUAACACAGUGUAUUUUUUAUUAUUUCAAUAUAUAAAAUAAAGUUGCAUUUAAAUAGAAAAUUUAAAAUUUUAGAGUUCAUGAUUUUAUCAAUAUUCUCA